CCUACGGGAGGCAGCAGUAAGGAAUAUUGGACAAUGGUCGCAAGACUGAUCCAGCCAUGCCGCGUGAAGGAUGACGGCCUAUGGGUUGUAAACUUCUUUUGUAUGGGAAAUUGUACCAUAAGAAUAAGGAUCGGCUAACUCCGUGCCAGCAGCCGCGGUAAUACGGAGGAUCCAAGCGUUAUCCGGAUUCAUUGGGUUUAAAGGGUGCGUAGGCGGAAUGAUAAGUCAGUGGUGAAAUCUCAGAGCUUAACUCUGAAACUGCCAUUGAUACUGUCAAUCUUGAGUACAUUUGAUGUGGGCGGAAUGUGUCAUGUAGCGGUGAAAUGCUUAGAUAUGACACAGAACACCGAUUGCGAAGGCAGCUCACAAAACUGUACUGACGCUGAGGCACGAAAGCGUGGGUAUCAAACAGGAUUAGAUACCCUUGUAGUC
rnacentral:rRNA from 1 species